rnacentral:rRNA from 1 species
AUUGAACGCUGGCGGCAGGCUUAACACAUGCAAGUCGAGCGGAGCGAGGGUGCUUGCACCUUAGCUUAGCGGCGGACGGGUGAGUAAUGCUUAGGAAUCUGCCUAUUAGUGGGGGACAACAUUCCGAAAGGAAUGCUAAUACCGCAUACGCCCUACGGGGGAAAGCAGGGGAUCUUCGGACCUUGCGCUAAUAGAUGAGCCUAAGUCGGAUUAGCUAGUUGGUGGGGUAAAGGCCUACCAAGGCGACGAUCUGUAGCGGGUCUGAGAGGAUGAUCCGCCACACUGGGACUGAGACACGGCCCAGACUCCUACGGGAGGCAGCAGUGGGGAAUAUUGGACAAUGGGGGGAACCCUGAUCCAGCCAUGCCGCGUGUGUGAAGAAGGCCUUAUGGUUGUAAAGCACUUUAAGCGAGGAGGAGGCUUACCUAGUUAAUACCUGGGAUAAGUGGACGUUACUCGCAGAAUAAGCACCGGCUAACUUUGUGCCAGCCGCCGCCGUAAGAC